rnacentral:hammerhead_ribozyme from 1 species
AUACGGAUGACGGGUCCCAAAUAGGACGAAAUGCUCAUCCUGAAU